AGCAACGUGGGACAGUGGCAGUCCGUUGGGCUCAUAACCCAAAUGUCCCUAGAUCGAAACUAGGCGUUGCUA
rnacentral:tRNA from 1 species